GGAAAGUAAAGGGGUUUGGGUCUCAACUUUCAUAAAUGAUCUUUUUCUCUUUUUUCCUGACAUAGAGAAAAAGAAUGCACAAAAAAACCUUGAACUUUCUGCCUUCCUUUCAACGCCAGACCCCAACAGAAAUCAUCAUGUCUUCUCCCUCAUCUUCUCAUCUUCUCCAUCGCCAUCAUUAUACUCGCACCUUCCCUUCUCUCACCAACUCCAUAACCCACAAACCCUCAUCAUUAAUUCCCCCAAGAAAAACCAGCAGAAGAAAAAGAAGAAGAAAGAAAAAAGAAAUCUCAGAAGAAACAGCAGCAAUUCUUCCCUUUGUCUAGGUUUUUGAUGAUGAGAAGCUCGACGCCCAUGGUGUAUCUGUUAUCUUCUUGUCUUUCUUGUUCUUGAAACCAGGACUCUUUGUGCUUGUGUAAAAGACAAUAGAUCUUGAAUCUUUUAAGUGUGAAAUGAAUUAUCAACCAUGGGUUGACUCUCUUUUUUCUUUUCUGAAUAUUAAUUAUAUGGUUUUCUCAAGCA